ACUCAGUCUGGAUCUGGUGGUUCYACCGAGGGUCUCGGUUCCUCUCGCGUCUUAUCUGAGUGAUGACAUAUAUGAAGAGGGAUGACAGAACACCGUCUAUCACUGAAGACCUGCUGGGGUGCAGCGCUCGGCCCCGAGACAC